UAGGGAAUCUUCGGCAAUGGACGAAAGUCUGACCGAGCAACGCCGCGUGAGUGAAGAAGGUUUUCGGAUCGUAAAACUCUGUUGUUAGAGAAGAACAAGGGUGAGAGUAACUGUUCACCCCUUGACGGUAUCUAACCGGAAAGCCACGGCUAACUACGUGCCA
rnacentral:rRNA from 1 species